GAUGAACGCUGGCGGCGUGCCUAAUACAUGCAAGUCGAGCGAACGGACGAGAAGCUUGCUUCUCUGAUGUUAGCGGCGGACGGGUGAGUAACACGUGGAUAACCUACCUAUAAGACUGGGAUAACUUCGGGAAACCGGAGCUAAUACCGGAUAAUAUUUUGAACCGCAUGUUUCAAAAGUGAAAGACGGUCUUGCUUUCACUUAUAGAUGGAUCCGCGCUGCAUUAGCUAGUUGGUAAGGUAACGGCUUACCAAGGCAACGAUGCAUAGCCGACCUGAGAGGGUGAUCGGCCACACUGGAACUGAGACACGGUCCAGACUCCUACGGGAGGCAGCAGUAGGGAAUCUUCCGCAAUGGGCGAAAGCCUGACGGAGCAACGCCGCGUGAGUGAUGAAGGUCUUCGGAUCGUAAAACUCUGUUAUUAGGGAAGAACAUAUGUGUAAGUAACUGUGCACAUCUUGACGGUACCUAAUCAGAAAGCCACGGCUAACUACGUG
rnacentral:rRNA from 1 species